ensembl:lncRNA
GGAAUUAUGGGAGAAAAGCAGUGGAACUGGCUUCCAGGUCUCUACUGUAUAUAGGGCACACUACUUUAGACCUGAUCCCUAUGCGUCCUGGUCUAAAGUAGUGCACUAUAUAGGGAAUAGGGUGUCAUAGGGCUCUGGUCUAAAGUAGUGCACUAUAUAGGGAAUUGGGUGCCAUAGGGCUCUGGUCUAAAGUAGUGCACUAUAUAGGGAACAGGGCUCUGGUCUAAAGUAGUGCACUAUAUAGGGAACAGGGCUCUGGUCUAAAGUAGUGCACUAUAUAGGG